AGUCUGCUAUAACAUAUCGCAAAAAAAAAAUCAAAUCGGAGAGAUCGACUUGGAAAGUUGGACUUUCUUUGUCAGAAAACAAAGCUCAAGGUCAACGAACGAAACCCCAAACGGAAAUUCGAAGUUGAUACAUUCAUUUGUUCACUCCAAUUGUCACAAGCUGACUGGGUAAACGGGCGAUUGAUAUCGUGCUGAUAUCUGCGAGUGUAACAAGUGUUUUCAACGGGUCAACGACGAAAGGCGAGAAGUGACCCGACCGAGAUUCGAUGGUCGAUAAAAUUGGUUCGUUACGGGGACGCGCGGCAAACGGCGCGGGUUAAUCACCAUAUGUAUCCGAAAAUUACAAGAUAUACGAAAGUUCUCAAGCUGCAUUCAACAUUUAUUUGUGUUGACCCGAGCAAACACGUAUAAGACGCAAUGAUGUAAUGACCCCGUUUAUCCAUGUCGUCGGGAAAUAGCGAUUUGAAUCGGUAUGUACACAGCAGAACAAUGUUGGCGUUCAUACGUACGUACAUAUGUAUUAUAUAUA